UGGGGAAUAUUGCACAAUGGGCGCAAGCCUGAUGCAGCGACGCCGCGUGAGGGAUGACGGCCUUCGGGUUGUAAACCUCUUUCGCCAGGGACGAAGCGCAAGUGACGGUACCUGGAUAAGAAGCACCGGCUAACUACGUGCCAGCAGCCGCGGUAAUACGUAGGGUGCGAGCGUUGUCCGGAAUUAUUGGGCGUAAAGAGCUCGUAGGCGGUUUGUCGCGUCGGCCGUGAAAUCUCCACGCUUAACGUGGAGCGUGCGGUCGAUACGGGCAGACUUGAGUUCGGCAGGGGAGACUGGAAUUCCUGGUGUAGCGGUGAAAUGCGCAGAUAUCAGGAGGAACACCGGUGGCGAAGGCGGGUCUCUGGGCCGAUACUGACGCUGAGGAGCGAAAGCGUGGGGAGCGAAC
rnacentral:rRNA from 1 species